CAGGCCACCCGCUCUCGCCGGGCCGAUCCCGUCGACUCCCGGCGCUCCUCCCGUCCGGGGGGCCGGGGGGAGUCGUUGACAGGUGGAGGGGGCGCAGACCCGGCGACUCGGCAGCACAGCCGGAUCUGUGGAAGUUCGCCCCGGCCCUGCCCAGCCCUGCUCUCUCGCUAAGGCCACCGGCGAACCCUCCGGUCGCUGUGACGCCCAGGGACUCUCCUGCUCUUCUGACGAGCCGCAAAGCCGCUCCAGCCCAGCCGUGAGGACUGCGGCCCCGGCUGCCUCACUCCCAGCCCGGCUCGAACCGUGUCCCUGCGUCCCAGCCCCUCCGGCCUCGCGCUGCGAUAAAAAUCCGCUUGGAAAAAAAAAACCCCACUGACUCCGAACCUUCCCGUCGUCUUCCCCCUCCGACAUCGGUCCUUGCUCCCUGGAAUUUUUAUUUUUUUCUUUUCAUUCCUGCCGGGGUAGCGCGAGCCCCUUCCCAGUGCCUCUCCCGAUCCUGCGUGUCCUGCGCAGGCAGCCCGGAAGAGGGCUGGUUCCGUCAGGAAGGAUCUGGGAUUCGGAUUCUGGGUUCCUGGACAGCGGCCCAGCGAAGAUCGUUUUCUUCCUGCCUGCCUUCCGCGCUCACGCCUUGGAGAGAGAGACUUCUUCUUUUUCAGUGUUCUUUACAUUUUUGUUAUAUGAAGGCAAAUUUUAACGUUGUACAGCUGAUGAAGAACUCUAAUAUAUUUACAAGGUCAGCAGGGGAACAAACGUCUUCUGGCCUCGGGAUUCUCAUGGCAAAUUGCUUGCGUACGACCGAAGAUGCACAUUUUGUUUUUUAGCAGGGUCAGAACCUUUUUUAUAAUGACAAAUUUUCUUUAUUGACGCGAAUUUAAAAAGCACAAGAUGAUCUAUGUCUUUUGUAAUUCCUGUUCUUUGUUUUAAAGUUGUUUAACAAAAAAAUUGUAUUCUAGCUACUUAGAAGCUCUCAAGCAUUAACGCUGGCUGGGCCCCGUGUCCUGGGCUCUGGGGCUCGGCCCGGCCCGGCCUGGGCCCGGAGCCUCCAGCCAAGGUCUUGCUGCCCAGGAGACGGAGCCCAGCUCUGCAGCGGGUGUCCGGGAGGUCCUGUCGGCCCCCGUGCUUGAUCUGUGCAGGAGACACCCGUAGGUGCACAGCAGCUGUGGAGGAGUGGAAACCGGCCUCAGCAGGCUGGUCUCUCUCGUUCCCUCCGGCUGCGUCAGGGUCCCUCGUGCACAGGCCCUCCAGCCCCCCUCCAGUGGGGAUCAGCGUGGAGGGAGCACGGCUGGGGCAGCACGAGCCCGAGCAGGAGCGCUCGUGAACGCGUCCGCCUCUGGGGGAUGAGCACUGGUAGAGCAGCUGGCAGCUGAUUAUAUUCGAUAAAAAACAUCCGUUUCUGGCACUAAAGAGCUUUGAGGUAAUUGGCUUGAUUUUGUGAAGACGACCAUCAUGUCACAAAGUCGUGUCGCCAGGAACAAGUGCCUUAUGUUUGUUUUUUUAAGAGAUUUCGCGGUCCUUUUUUUUGUAGAAACUGACAGAGCUGAUUUUCUAUCUCUCGUGGUGUUUGGCAGCAGGGUGUCCUUGUACCUGUGAAACAGUGGUGUGGGACGCCACUGUGGAGCCUGUGUCCACUCGGCCAAGAGCGUCCCAGCGUUGUCCUGCUGCUCAUUCCCCGUUUUCAGUGUCCCAACAUGCUGCAACACUUGUCCACUCGUCCCGUCUUUCAGAGGGAUUGGGCUUCCCUGAAGGGGGACGGAAGUUGUUUUCCAUCCUCCUGUCCAGGGUGUGUCCGCUGGGAGUCACAUCCCACGGCCCUCCCGUGUCCUGCUGAGCUGGGGCUUGUCCAGGAGCCGGGCUGGGCCGGGGGGGAUAAGUUCUGUCACCCUUUUAGCUAGACGCGAGAGCCCAGCGAAAUGGUGGGCAGAUAGGGUCCAGUCGACAGGGAUGUCGAUUGUAGUGAUUUGCAAACGCACACCCAUAAUUGCAAACUCGAUUUUCAUCCUUUCCCAACCUGCUUCUCCCCUGCAGUUGAUUGUGGAGUACUGUAGCACUGUUGUCAAGGCAAGACUCGCACAACUGCCAGGAAGCCUCAUGUGCUAUACUCUCUGUGCUCAUCUACCCUCUUUGUUUCUUCUCUUCACAUCUGACCGAUUCAUCUGAAAUCACUUGUUUGAACAGUUUCCCAGGUGUUCCAGGCUGGGGGGUCAGGCUUGUGCCCAGUGCAGUUGUAGUGUUGUGGUUUAUUGCUCUCUGUCUGCUGCUGCAUCGGCCUGUUUUUCGGACUGACAGAGGUUUAAAAGGCUGAGGCAAGGAGAUGUCACUGAAGCUGCUGGAUGUCAACUGGAGCGCCUGCAGAUAUGUGCAGGUGGUGCUCUGUGGCGCCGCCCUACAGGCACAGCUGGGUCUGUAAUCAGGAGUUCUGUCUGGUGGCUGAUGUUUGCUGGUGUUACUCUUCUGUCCUGCUGCAAGACCACUGUAACUGUCGAGACGCUUGUCCUGUAAUAAACCCCUACACUGUGAGACUCA